AAAUCCAAAAAAAAAAAAAAAGAAAAAAAAAAGGACAUACAUAGGCAUGCUUCUUCUCAAUCCCUGUUUG
rnacentral:ribozyme from 14 species